GCAGUAGCCGCGGUAAUACGAAGGGUGCAAGCGUUAAUCGGAAUUACUGGGCGUAAAGCGUGCGUAGGCGGUUUGUUAAGUCUGCUGUGAAAUCCCCGGGCUCAACCUGGGAAUGGCAGUGGAUACUGGCAAGCUAGAGUGUGUCAGAGGAUGGUGGAAUUCCCGGUGUAGCGGUGAAAUGCGUAGAGAUCGGGAGGAAUACCGGUGGCGAAGGCGGCCCCCUGGACAAAGACUGACGCUCAGGUGCGAAAGCGUAGGGAGCAAACAGGACUAGAGACCCCUGUAGUCCCUGUCUCUUAUAC
rnacentral:rRNA from 1 species